UUGGACUCACGUUUCAAGUUUGAGUUUGUUGAGUUUUGUUAAAAAAAAGUUGAUGACCCAACAGUUGCAACAAGAAAGUUGGAGUCAGUCAAACAGGAGUUGUAUAAGCUUUUUGUUGCUUAUGAGGGUCUACAUUGCAAUGAAGUUCCCGCCAGCCCUUCGGUACAAACUAGUAGUCCUAAUAUCCUUGGAGAUGAUAUUUGUGAAUUUGACCACUUCAAGAGUGACUUUAGUGCUACUAAGAAGCUCGAAUUGGAUACUUAUUUGGGAGAGGCAAGGUUUGAUCGCAUCAAAUUUUGCAAUAUGGAUAUCCUAGACCAUUGGAAUAAAAAUUGUGAUCGAUACUCGAUAAUUUCCAUAAUGGCCUGUGAUAUUAUGAGUAUACCAAUAACAACUUUUACCUCGGAGUCCAGUUUCAGUGUUGGCAGCAAAGUGCUCAGUAAAUAUCGAAGCUCACUUCUACCAAAGAAUGCACAGUCUUUGAUAUGCACUUGGACAUGGAUUUCUGGAUUUAAAGUUAAAGUUUAAAUUGUAGAAGACGAAACUGAUGAUGAUUAGCUUCUUAUGCCGUUAACCCAAGCAGAGAUUAGGGAAUCAAGGGCGUCUUCUAACACCGUCAUUGUGCAAUAGAAUUUGUCAAUUCGGUUGAACAAUUCUAUCGCUAUUUUUGUUUACU